UACGUAGGGCGCAAGCGUUAUCCGGAAUUAUUGGGCGUAAAGAGCUCGUAGGCGGUUUGUCACGUCUGCCGUGAAAGUCCGGGGCUCAACUCCGGAUCUGCGGUGGGUACGGGCAGACUAGAGUGAUGUAGGGGAGACUGGAAUUCCUGGUGUAGCGGUGAAAUGCGCAGAUAUCAGGAGGAACACCGGUGGCGAAGGCGGGUCUCUGGGCCGAUACUGACGCUGAGAAGCGAAAGCGUGGGGAGCGAACAGG
rnacentral:rRNA from 1 species